rnacentral:rRNA from 1 species
AACUAGGGGUGAAAGGUCAAUCAAACUGGGAGAUAGCUUGUUUUCUACGAAAUUUAUUGAAGUAAAGUGUUGAAUUAUGUGAGUAGUUGGGGUACAGUUCUUAUUUAUUAAUACAGUCUAAACAACUGUCAGAGGUGUGUAAAUCGUGGAAUACAUCUACUUAUAAAUUUAAUAAUCGGACUAUGGGGGCUAAGCUCCAUGGUCGAGAGGGAAACAGCCCCGAUCAUCUAUUAAAGUUCUAAAUUAAUCUCUGAGUGGAAAGUUGUUAUCUGUACUUCACAAUCAAAAGGUAGGCUUGGAAGCAGCCGUCCUUUAAAUAAAGCGUAAAAAAUAAUUUGGCUAGUGUAUGGAUAAGCAUCGAAAAUAUAGUGGAACUAAGAGAUUAACUGAAAUAGUGAAUUGUUUUUGGUUUAUUGUGAAAUAUCAAUAAGAUCAAAAUAAAUGGUAGUAGAAUGUUCUAUAGAAUUGAGAAUUGCCAUUGUUAAAUGGUGAAGAAUUAUUAGAAGCAAGAAUGCUGAGAUGAGUAACGAUAAAUAAAGGUUUAAUGUCUUUAUCAUUGUAAAUCUACGAUUUUCGCCGCGCUAGUUUAUAGCGGCGAGUGAAGCGAUCACUAAGCAUUUGAUGCGAAUUAAAUGUGAGUGUGUCCUUUGAAAAGUUAGUGAUAAGUAAAAUUAUCAAGAACCGGGAAAAAUAGAAGGGUGAUCGUAUUAUAUUACUGACACAGGUAGAUUGGUAUAAAUGUACUAAAAUGUGGGAGAAGGGUGUUUAAGGAACUCGGCAAAAUAACUCUGUAACUUCGGGAGAAGGGGGGUUUUGUACUUUAAUUAAAGUAUGAAAUAGCAUAAAAUUGUAGGUAGCGACUGUUUCUUAAAAACACAGGACAUUGCUAAAUGUAUAGAUGAAGUAUUAUGUCUGAGGCCUGCCCGGUGCAGUAUGACUAAAAGGAGAAGUGAAAGCUUCGAAUUUAUCUCUCUGUAAACGGCGGCUGUAACUCUAACGGUCCUAAGGUAGCGAAAUUCCUUGUCGGGUAAGUUCCGACGCGCAUGAAAGGCAUAACGGCUUCCUAACUGUCUCAAACACCUACCCAGUGAAAUUGGAGUUGGAGUGAAGAUACUCUUAAAGUUUCGAUAGACGGAAAGACCCUAUGCAGCUUUACUAUGUUCAAAUUUUGCAUUCUAUGAAUAACCAUGUAGCAUAUGUGGGACUUUAGAUCACCUUCUUUGGAAUUGUGAUUAAGGAUCUGUGAAAUACCCUUGUUUUAUUUGUAGGUGCUAUACUGAUUCAAAAUGAAUUGGGACAGAAUGUGAGUGGUAGUUUGACUGGGGCGGUCUCCUCCUAUAUAGUAACGGAGGAGUGCAAUGAUAGGUUCUAAUUUGGCUUGACUAAGUUAGUGAGCAUAAUGGUAAAAAUCUAUUUGAUUUGAGGACAAACAAGUUCUCUAAGAAUGACCUAUUAUGAAAAUAAUAUGUUGUUUGUCAUAGUGAUCCGGUGGUUUUGUAUGGAAAAGCCAUCGCUCAACGGAUAAAAGCUACGCUAGGGAUAACAGGCUGAUAAUGCAUGAGAGUUCAUAUCGAUUGCGUUGUUUGGCACCUCGAUGUCGGCUCAUCCUUUCCUGCGGUUGGAAAAGAUCGCAAGGGUUUAGCUGUUCGCUAAUUAAAAGGGUACGUGAGCUGGGUUUAAAACGUCGUGAGACAGUUUGGUCCCCAUCUUCGAAAUUUGAAAGAAUUGAAAGAUUUCUUCUCUAGUACGAGAGGGCCGAGAAGAAGUAACCUCUGAUCUUUUAGUUGUUUGCUUGAG